UACGAAGGGGGGCUAGCGUUGCUCGGAAUUACUGGGCGUAAAGCGCACGUAGGCGGCUUUCUAAGUCGGGGGUGAAAUCCUGGAGCUCAACUCCAGAACUGCCUUCGAUACUGGAGAGCUCGAGUCCGGGAGAGGUGAGUGGAACUGCGAGUGUAGAGGUGAAAUUCGUAGAUAUUCGCAAGAACACCAGUGGCGAAGGCGGCUCACUGGGCCGAUACUGACGCUGAGGAGCGAAAGCGUGGGGAGCGAACAGG
rnacentral:rRNA from 1 species